AUUUUCGGUGAAGAACAUGGGGAAGGUUUUGUGUUGUGUUGGAAAAGAAAGGGAGGCUUAUUCUAUUUGCACCGCGCAUUAUUUUGUUGCGGUACAAAAGACACAUUGCUCCGUAAAUGGUGUAGUAUGCGAA
ensembl:ncRNA Y39A1B.6 ncRNA